ensembl:snRNA U1 U1 spliceosomal RNA
AUACUUACCUGGCAGGGAAGGUGCCAUGAUCAUGAAGAUGGUUUUCCCAGAGCGAGGCUUACCCGCUGCACUCCAGGUAUGCUGACCCCUGCGAUUUCUCCAAAUGCAGGAAACUCAACUGCAUAAUUUGUGGUAGUGGGGGAUUUCGUUCCUGCUUCCGCUGU